AAUAAUGGAUAGUAACUACUAUGUAGUCACUCUUUCUAUGUGUUGGCCUCUCUGUUGUUCAUAUUGUAUACAGACUGUGGCAGUAGUUUGUAAAAUUUAUUAAUUUCUGUCAUUUUUUUUCAGAGAUAAUUUUCUUUUCUUUCUUCCUACUUCGGUUUUCCAGUGUUCUAACAGCUAGACAUUUUGAUGAUCAUGGUCCAGGGGAUGUUUCUAGUACCUCUUAGUCACCCACUUUCAUCCUCAAGCUCUGACUUCCCUCUGGGUCUUCCUGAUUUGUUCUGCUACAGGAAGACUCUGCAUUGCCUCUGUUCAGCCACAGCAGGCCAGGAGGAUACCUCCACCGUGCCAACAGUGGUCAUACUCAGGGUGCACUGGUCCCUCCACCACUUCUCAGAAGGCCAAAUGCAGAGGUGGGGUUUGGCUUCUCCACUGGCUGCUGAUGGCAGCAGAUGAAGCAACUCACAACUGAGGGGUAGGGCUACAUUUGGCAAAUGAGAGCAGAAAGUGACCAAUAAAUGAAUGCUUUACCUCGCCCUAAACCCUAUUCUUACAACAUUUCAGAGAUACUGUAGUUCCAAAACAACUACACUUGUAAAAAGUCAUAUUCCCCCCUUACAUUUGUCUUCUCUCCUGACUCACACUUCAUUUAACUCACUUUUGCUUUCCUGGAAUUACAUUCGCCACUAAAAUAUUAGCAUACAUUCUUUAGGUUUGAGUUCCGUGUUCUAGGAAGUCUGGGCUAAAACAAGGAUAAAAACGUUUAAACAGGGAAAUACUUGGAGAUUUUUUCAUGUCCUUGGUUUUCAAAUCCUAAAUUCUCUAGAGAAAUGGAGAGGAGUGUUGACACGGAUAUUUGAGAACAAGAUAGAAGGAAAAAUUGGAAAAAGCAGAGUCUAUGAAACUACAUGAGUUCAAAAAAAGCUUCAACGACCACUUACAAGAAGAGGAAGCUAUUAGAGUACACAUAGCAGUGGAAUGAAACCAUCUGACUUCAGGUGACAUUGCUAUGCCAAGAACAGACUGUGGUUGAUGGAGGAGAGGAACAGGUGUGGAGGGAUCUCCAACUUCCAGGCCGUAGACUGAAACCAGUUCACAGCCAGUUAGGAACCAGUCUGCACAGCAGGAGGUGAAUGGCUGGAUCAUACUGGGAAGGCUGUGUUUCAUCUCCUGUUACAAUUCUUCAAACAAAUGCUGCAGGAUCUCCAUCCCACUUGCCUGAAAUUUCUACUGGAAGCUCUGAAAUUGUUUGCAGCUGAUCUGUUAGUAAUGGUUUGGCCCCCUUUACGUGAAAAGUUUGCUCUACUUUAAUCUUUCAGUCAGAAUUGCAAGCUGGACUGUUUAAGAUGUCUAUGGUAUUGGAUGUGGCUUAUGCUAGUAAUCAUCUUUUCUCUUCAACUGGGUCACAAAGCUUUUUUUUUUUUUUCUUUGCAAAUUGAUGUGGACGGUCUGCUAUUUUGUAAGUUACGUUUAACAUAUCUUAUCUCUUAUAACAAGCUACCCUUUGGUCAACUGCUGAUUUCUUUGAGGAUGUUGUCCACAAAAACAUUCUGUACUGUAGAAAUGAUUUCACCAUUCCUGCACCAGAACGCUAAUGUAAAUUUGAUGUUUGUUCUUUUUCAAUUUUAGCAGAAUUCAGGUUUCUCUGAUAAGCACUCUUUUCGAACUGAUGUCUUAACCGUCAUAAUUCCUCAAAGUAUAUCCUGUUCAGAGAUUUUAUAACAAGGUAUAACGAGUUUACUUUUGUGCCAAAAUGUCAAAAUCUAGGUGUUUUUCCAUAAUAGUCAUUUUCUAUAAACUUUUUGAAGAACUCUAUGCUCUAGAAAACUUAUUUCAUGUUUAGUUGAAAUUUAAGAACAUACAUUCUAUUAAGAAACUUAAAUUACCAAAUAACCAUAAAAAUCAA